UAUCAUUUUACACUGCUCUAUC
rnacentral:miRNA from 1 species